CUCUUGAUUUGAUUAUUGCUCAAGAAGGGGUUCUUUGCCACUCUUCACAUGCAACUCAGAACUGGAAUUAUAUUAAAAAAGAACAAGGAAAAUGAAGCCUUACCUGCUGGAAUUGUGUGACGGGGCCUUCAGGUUGCCUCAAACUGGAAUAGCUUCACUGUAGGGAGAAAAUGAAGCCGGAUUCUGAUGGCCAGAUGCCAAUGAAAAUUGGAAAAAUUUAGACAGAAAAAUGUAAAUGAAAAUUGAGAGCUGUUUAAGAAGGGUUUACAAGAUGGCCAAAAAGUCGUCAUUCUACAGUUGUGGCAGAAGAUCUUCAGCCUAGAGAAUCGGCAGCAUGGUGAACAGGAAUUCAAGGGAGGAGAGGGGCAUUCUGAGAAUGGAAGCACUAACGGCUGUGAAGUGGCCAGGUACGACGAUGAUGAGCACACCUGAAAGACUUCUAAGUAAAUAAGAUAAAUUGUUGUUGGGGAUAUUUUAAACUAGACUGGAGGAUUGCUCUCCUCAGAAUACACACAGAGGGUAUGCCUACACUGCAGCUGGGGGCAUGCUUCCCAGGGAGGGGAGAUGGACAUGGUCUAGCUCUGCUGGAGCUUGUGUGCUCAAAAUAGCCGUGUAGCUAACCCGCUUGGACCUCUUUUUUUUUAUCUACUAGGGUGGCUAACCUGAGCUGCUGCCCGUGCUACCCCUGACUCUGCUGCUCUUUUUA